GCCCCCUCGGCGCCCGCGGGCGCGAGGCUGGCCGUUAGGGCGGGGUCAACGGCCCGCGCUCGCGCGCGCCCGUUGCGAACCCUAUCAGAGCCCCCCAGAGCGAGGGGAGCCGUGGCAAGAUCAUCAAGAUGGCACUAACAUUUCAUUCUAGAAAGUACUGCUUGGAAAACAAGGUACUACAGCAAUAUUUAGCCUCUGGGUAAAAGGAAGAAGCCAGUACUACAUGACUGUCAGUCCUCUGGGGAUCUUCUGAUAUUUCUGUCUAGACUGCUAAUAAUUUAUUGACUACACAUUGAACAAUUGUAAUCUAACAAGUAGGAUUUUAUGCUCCACAUUCUUACUGUAUUUGAUGUGUAUUGUAUCCUGUUGUCUUAGAUAUGGCCUAGAGUAUUUUAUUCUAGUUACUAAGGCAAUCGAAGAACUGAAGCAGAGGAUUGUCAAGGUUGCAGGUUAUUCAUGGUUGAUCUGAAAGUAAAAUUUAAAAAACAUAGCAGAAAUGUGCCCCUUUUUCCCCUACUGUUUCAUGGAGUUUCCCAGAGUAUUUCUGAGGCAAUAUUAGGGUGAUUUCAUAAUGUGUACUAUGCAAAACCAACUGCAUAUGUGCAUAUUAGCCCCAGGUAAUACCCCUUCCAUAGAAGUCAGUGACAGAACUCCAAUUUCACUGGGGCCAGAAUUCUGUCUCUGAUGUCUUUUUCCUGCUUCUGCUCCAAGUAAAGCCUAUUAAAUGAAUUAAAGCAGAGAGAUACUUUGAGUCCAAUGGAAUAUUUAUUUCCACAAUUAUCAGUUAUGGGGAUUAUGGAAAAAAGCAGCCAAGAUGUGCUGACAUAUUUAAGUCAUCUAAGAAAUGUAUAUGCAAGUAGGAGAAUUUACAUCAAAAGUACAAGAUUGUUUCUAGAGUCAGACAGUAAUAAAGAAAUUUAACCUAAAUUGUUCUGUUUCCUGAUACUAAUUGUUGUAACCUCUAUUAAACAAAAUAAUACAAUUUUUCAGGUGAUCUUUCUUUGUUAAAUUGGAAGAUGGGCCUUUUUUGGUUUUAUUACCCCAGCCACAUCAGAUAUCUUACACCAGUCAUAAACAAAAUAGCACAUCAGCAGAGAUCAAUGCUAAGGAAACAAUGCCCUGCUGUAUGCAAGAAGGAAUCUCAGAUCGCUACUCUGUGUAGUACUUAUGAAAUGAUUUCAGUGCUGACAACAAAGGACUUAACACAUUAGGAUGAUUUGGCCUGUUAAUCUCAGCUAAAUAAAAUACGAAUAUAUGAUUUUUAUUAGUCUAAUCAAAAUAUGUUGAAUAGUAGUAUCUUAAAUGAUACUAGUAAGCAUAGAAUGAGGCCAUAACUGUAUAGGAUUAAAUUACGAACUACUCCUGGUGACUGUUAUAACUGGUACCUGUUUAUCGUCAAUACUGCAGACAAUACAGGCCCUGAACCCUGGCUUUUCAUAUCAUAAAUGAAUUUAAGGUGCUUACAUUUUAAGGUGCUCCAUUCAUGGAGCUACUUGUAAGUACACAUUUUUAACUUCAUUUUUACAUACUGUAGUCCAGAGAAAUUUGUUUAGAUUGAGAGAGAGCAGAUCUGUUUCCUCAGCUUACCACACUGUCAAUGAAAACAUUUAAAUGGAUGUUUCUGUGCCCUUUAUGUUACACAUGGAGGCCUUAAUGUAAAUAAGAAUGAGCAGAAAAAAUCUUUGGGAACAAAGCCUUCUUGACCUUUUAAGCUAUAUAUUCCCACCGCAUUCCUGCCUUUUCAUCAUACAUUCAGUCCACUUCUCUUUUGGAAGCAAAUAUGAGUGUCUUGUGAUGAAGUGUGUGUGUUGUUUUAAUUAUGUUUGCUAAAAUAUUUAUGUACCUGUGAUUAUUUACCUUUGUGUAAAAGUGUUCUUCAUAUGUUUUACCAUUACAUUCAACAUGUACACUGUUGAAAAUUUAAAAGUAUGUAUUUGUUGAUCUUUCCAGUCCUAUAAUGAUAGAAACAUGUAUUCUCUCACUUCAGUGCCAUCUCUUUGUCUACAAAAA